AUGUCAACAAAUUAUCUUCCACCACCAUCACCGGAUACACCUUCGCCUCCAUACCUGACGGUGCCGAUGCCUUGGUCACCGGGUCCACCUAUGCUAACAUGGCCACCACCUAUAUCAUCAGAUAAGUUAUCAUCUGAUGACUCUUCUUCUUCAACAUCAACAUUUGGCAUCGUUAUUGGUGUUGCUGCCGGGGUCCUAGGUGUUCUUUUGUUGUUUGCGAUUUGGCACAAGUAUCUUAGGAAGAAAAGUUGUUAUUCAAGAUCAAAGUGUUAG